rnacentral:rRNA from 1 species
UUUCCAGACUCCUACGGGAGGCAGCAGUGAGGAAUAUUGGUCAAUGGGCGCGAGCCUGAACCAGCCAAGUAGCGUGAAGGAUGACUGCCCUACGGGUUGUAAACUUCUUUUAUAAAGGAAUAAAGUGAGGCACGUGUGCCUUUUUGUAUGUACUUUAUGAAUAAGGAUCGGCUAACUCCGUGCCAGCAGCCGCGGUAAUACGGAGGAUCCGAGCGUUAUCCGGAUUUAUUGGGUUUAAAGGGUGCGUAGGCGGACGCUUAAGUCAGCGGUAAAAUUGCGGGGCUCAACCUCGUCGAGCCGUUGAAACUGGGUGCCUUGAGUGGGCGAGAAGUACGCGGAAUGCGUGGUGUAGCGGUGAAAUGCAUAGAUAUCACGCAGAACUCCGAUUGCGAAGGCAGCGUACCGGCGCCCAACUGACGCUGAAGCACGAAGGCGUGGGUAUCGAACAGGAUUAGAUACCCGAGUAU